GAUGAACGCUAGCGGCAGGCCUAACACAUGCAAGUCGAGGGAGAAGCCCUUUCGGGGGCCGAAACCGGCGCACGGGUGCGUAACGCGUAUGCAACCUACCUUUCACAGGGGGAUAGCCCGAAGAAAUUUGGAUUAAUACCCCAUAAUAUUAUUGGAUGGCAUCAUUUGAUAAUUAAAACUGCGGUGGUGAAAGAUGGGCAUGCGUCCUAUUAGCUAGUUGGAGUGGUAACGGCACCCCAAGGCUACGAUAGGUAGGGGUCCUGAGAGGGAGAUCCCCCACACUGGUACUGAGACAGGGACCAGACUCCUACGGGAGGCAGCAGUGAGGAAUAUUGGUCAAUGGUCGGAAGACUGAACCAGCCAUGCCGCGUGCAGGAAGAAUGCCUUAUGGGUUGUAAACUGCUUUUAGAUGGGAAGAAUAAGGUGUACGUGUACAUUGAUGACGGUACCAUAUGAAUAAGCAUCGGCUAACUCCGUG
rnacentral:rRNA from 1 species